CCCUCUCGCUCGGGCUGCGUUAGAAGCGCGGGGAGGGAAGCCCAGAGGGAAGCCGGUAGGCUCGCGGCUUGGCUGGUGCAUGCCGGCGUUGUCGUUCAUCAGUUCGCGUAGUCCUCACAACAGCCCUGGGCCUUACAGACCCUUACUGUCAUUCUUCAUAGAUAAAGAAAUCUCUGUCCAUUGAAAUGGUCUAAAAGGAAACAGAAUCCAGAUUCUACUCCCCCUAAAAGGAAUAGGCUCUUGGAAGAGAUAGCUGAUAUUCCAAGUUUGGGACAGCACAAGUACAAGGAGAGAAAGACAGUGAACGGAGGAGGAUCAGAGAGAGAGAGGGAGACAGAGAAUCCAAAGCAGGCUCCUCAGUGUCAGCAAAAAGCCCGACAAGAGGCUCAACCCACAAAGAGAUCAUGAGUUGCCUGAACAGAAGUCGACACUCAACCAACUAAGCCACCCAGAUUUUCUCAAAGUAAACCCCAGCAAAGCCACUUGAGAAACAUGCUGUGAGAACUGCCAUGAGGCCUACAAGUUGAGAGCCGGCUGAAAGUUCCUUAGAAUCCAGCUCCUGAGAAUCGGAGGGCCACUGAACAAGAAGACAAAUGGAACUGGAGUUUACUCUUACAAUACUUUACAAAGCACAUAUUGAGAGUGCACUCUCAGACCUUAAGAUAAAAAUAUACCCAACACCAUUCUUGGGGAUUGCAGAGGAGAGCUUUUGGAAGAAAAUCUUAUAAUCAUUUUAUUUUUUUCCCAUAGUGAUAUUACUGUUACAACUUACAAUUUCAAAAAACUCCCUAAAAAAGAGAAAGAGAAUGAAUAAAUGCACAGAUGCACAAAA